CCUACGGGAGGCAGCAGUGAGGAAUAUUGGUCAAUGGGCUUACGCCUGAACCAGCCAAGUCGCGUGAGGGAAGACUACCCUAUGGGUUGUAAACCUCUUUUGUCAGGGAGCAACGCCGGCUACGUGUAGCCGGACUGAGAGUCCCUGAAGAAAAAGCAUCGGCAAACUCCGUGCCAGCAGCCGCGGUAAUACGGAGGAUGCGAGCGUUAUCCGGAUUUAUUGGGUUAAAAGGGUGCGUAGGCGGAAUGCCAAGUCAGCGGUAAAAUCGCGGGGCUCAACCUCGCUCCGCCGUUGAAACUGGCGUUCUGGAGUGGGCGAGAAGCAUGCGGAAGGCGUGGUGUAGCGGUGAAAUGCGUAGAUAUCACGCGGAACUCCGAUUGCGAAGGCAGCAUACCGGCGCCCAACUGACGCUGAAGCACGAAAGCGUGGGUAGCGAACAGGAUUAGAUACCCUUGUAGUC
rnacentral:rRNA from 1 species